GAGGGUAUAGCUCAAGUGGUAGAGUGCGUGCUUAGCAUGCAUGAGGUCCCCGGUUCAAUCCCCAGUACUUCCU
rnacentral:tRNA from 1 species